rnacentral:rRNA from 1 species
GACGAACGCUGGCGGCGUGCUUAACACAUGCAAGUCGAGCGGAGCGGCGAACGGGUGAGUAAAGCGUGAGUAACUGCCCCCCUCUCUGGGAGUACAGUUCGAAACGGCUGCUAAUACCGGAUAGUUGGGGAUGACUCGCGUCCUAUCAGCUUGUUGGUGGGGGAGUGGCCUACCAAGGCGACGACGGGUAGCCGGCCUGAGAGGGCGACCGGCCACAAUGGGCUGCGAUACGGCCCAAACUGCAACGGGAGGCAGUAGUGGAGAAUAUUGCACAAUGGGGGAGACUCUGAUGCAGAAACGCCGCGUGUGGAAUGACGGCCUUCGGGUGGUAAACCGCUUUCAGCCAUGACGCGGUAGUGGCAGAAGAAGCACCGGCUAACUACGUGCCAGCAGCCGCGGUAAUUC